rnacentral:rRNA from 1 species
CCUACGGGUGGCUGCAGUGGGGAAUAUUGCACAAUGGGCGCAAGCCUGAUGCAGCCAUGCCGCGUGUGUGAAGAAGGCCUUCGGGUUGUAAAGCACUUUCAGCGGGGAGGAAGGCGUUAAGGUUAAUAACCUUGGCGAUUGACGUUACCCGCAGAAGAAGCACCGGCUAACUCCGUGCCAGCAGCCGCGGUAAUACGGAGAGUGCAAGCGUUAAUCGGAAUUACUGGGCGUAAAGCGCACGCAGGCGGUCUGUCAAGUCGGAUGUGAAAUCCCCGGGCUCAACCUGGGAACUGCAUUCGAAACUGGCAGGCUAGAGUCUUGUAGAGGGGGGUAGAACUCCAGGUGUAGCGGUGAAAUGCGUAGAGAUCUGGAGGAAUACCGGUGGCGAAGGCGGCCCCCUGGACAAAGACUGACGCUCAGGUGCGAAAGCGUGGGGAGCAAACAGGAUUAGAUACCCCUGUAGUC